GAUGAACGCUGGCGGCGUGCUUAACACAUGCAAGUCGAACGGAAAGGCCCAAGCUUGCUUGGGUACUCGAGUGGCGAACGGGUGAGUAACACGUGGGUGAUCUGCCCUGCACUUCGGGAUAAGCCUGGGAAACUGGGUCUAAUACCGGAUAGGACCACUUCUUGGAUGUUGUGGUGGAAAGUUUUUUCGGUGUGGGAUGAGCUCGCGGCCUAUCAGCUUGUUGGUGGGGUAAUGGCCUACCAAGGCGUCGACGGGUAGCCGGCCUGAGAGGGUGUACGGCCAUAUUGGGACUGAGAUACGGCCCAGACUCCUACGGGAGGCAGCAGUGGGGAAUAUUGCACAAUGGGCGCAAGCCUGAUGCAGCGACGCCGCGUGGGGGAUGACGGCCUUCGGGUUGUAAACUCCUUUCGCUAGGGACGAAGCGUUUUGUGACGGUACCUGGAGAAGAAGCACCGGCUAACUACGUG
rnacentral:rRNA from 1 species